UACGUAGGGACCAAGCGUUGUUCGGAUUUACUGGGCGUAAAGGGCGCGUAGGCGGCACUGUUAGUCAGGCGUGAAAGUCCUGGGCUCAACCUGGGAACUGCGCUUGAUACGGCAGAGCUAGAGGAUGGAAGAGGGUCGCGGAAUUCCCAGUGUAGAGGUGAAAUUCGUAGAUAUUGGGAAGAACACCGGUGGCGAAGGCGGCGACCUGGUCCAUUACUGACGCUGAGGCGCGACAGCGUGGGGAGCAAACAGG
rnacentral:rRNA from 1 species